rnacentral:snRNA from 1 species
AGGGUUCGAGUGUGAGCAUGCCUGU